rnacentral:rRNA from 1 species
UACGGGGGGGGGCAAGCGUUGUUCGGAAUUACUGGGCGUAAAGGCUCGUAGGUGGCCAACUAAGUCAGACGUGAAAUCCCUCAGCUUAACUGGGGAACUGCGUCUGAUACUGGAUGGCUUGAGUUUGGGAGAGGGAUGCGGAAUUCCAGGUGUAGCGGUGAAAUGCGUAGAUAUCUGGAGGAACACCGGUGGCGAAGGCGGCAUCCUGGACCAAUACUGACACUGAGGAGCGAAAGCCAGGGGAGCAAACGGG